AUAGUCCUCAGGGCCGACAGAAGCCGGCGAGACAGCGGCGUUCACGGCGAGCAGCACGACGCAAAUCGCCGGGAGAAAAGGGCCCAUCCUUUGCCGCGGCAGUCUUGACGCAUUCAAGGAGAGUGUCUCAGGUUCCUUAAGUUAAUGUGCUAUCAGCCGAAGACACCCAUAGAUGGAUGAAGAGUCAGCUCACAUAAACGAGGACACACACAUGCUCUUGCAGCUUUUAGAGAUGCCACUGUUGUACUGAUGUGUAUGGGGCCAAAUCCAAUGCCUGGGCUCUGCAGGGUGUCAGAGGCUUCCUUCCGUCUUUGUGGAAUCAUCCCCUUGCAAGAGCUGGCAUUUUCCAUUGGGUUAAGUAAGAAUCUCUCUCUCUCUCUCUUUCACUUCAAAGUGUUUGUUUGAAAGUCAUGUUGUGGUUCCAGUGCUCAGAAGGAAACAGGUUCACUGGAAGGUAACAACCUCUAAAAAAAGCAUUAAAAGAAAUCACUUAAAAAUGAAAUCUGUCAUUAUUUACUUACCCUCACAUUGUACCAAACAUGUAUGCUGUUAUUUUUUAUUUUUUAUUUUUUUCUGUAAAACACAGAGGAUUUUAGAAGAAUAUUCAUGCUCUUUUAUAGUGACUAAAGGGAUCAAGCUACAAAAAUUAAAAAUAAAUAAAUAAUAAAAAGUAGUCUAUUUGAUUAAUGUGCUUUAUUAUAUUUGGGAAGCCAUAGAAUAUAUUUUCUUAGGAACAGACCAAAAGUUUUUUGUUUUUUUUUAGGUUAUUUACUGAAAAUCUUCCCUCCGCUACAGGCUACAACUCUAAAAUCUCAUUCUCCAUUCUACAUAUUCAAACAUGUGCGUUGCAUUUGGUUAUUAUUGAAUGGUAUUUUUGACUUUGAAUGUGAUAUUUUAGAGCUUCGGUGGAGGUAAAGUUUUUUUUUGUUUUUUGGUUAACUUUCUUUUUGUUCCUCAAACAAAGGUAAUGUAUGCUUCAGGCAACUUCAGAGUUAUAUAGACUUCUUUUAUGAUUCUUUUAUGGGGUUUGUUUUGAUUUUGCUGUGUGGAGUUUCUUAAAAAUCUGUUUGUAUUCCUCCAUUGUGUGUACCAUUUGGGUUUGUAGCUAUAUGAAGCUGAGUAAAUAAUGGCAAAACUUUUAUUUUUUGGAGAACUAUACUUAGGAAUUGUGGUCUAAAGUGCACAGUACAAUGUGUGUGUGUAUAUAUAUAUAUAUAUAUAUAUAUACAUUAUGUGUGUCUGCUUGGGAGUGAGUGAGCGAGCAGGACUGAAAGAGAUUGCACUCAAUCAGUUGUAUUCAUAAAGCCAGUACCGAAGGUCAUUUGUUAUGGGUAUAAUGUAUUCAAUGUAAUCAGCUCCAAUUACAGGCCUCCCGGUGGAUAUGCACAGAAAGCCGUCUAGACCCUCCCCUGACAACAGGCCUCCUGCUGUCAGCACAUUGCCUAACCUGCAAAAAAGGAGCGUUUUACUGACAGAAACCACGGGGUGCUUUACUAAAUGAUGCCAGCUAUCUGUUUCUUCACGGUUCACUGUGAGUCAUGCUAACCUCAGGGACGGAUUGGCUUGGUAUGAAUCGACCUGACAGCAGGAGGCCUUGAGAACCAUGUGAAUUGAAACAGGUGCAUCUUGACCAUAACUCUCAAUCAUUCAAACCUGCUGUAUUCCAUGCAUUCUCCCUCCAUGCUCAUGGGAAUACAUGCUGCUGGAUUCACACAGCAUAUUCUCUGAACCACAGUGGACCGUUCCUCCCUCCAUGCCUCAUAGAACUUAUUUCAAAUGUUUUUUUCUUCGUUUUUUGCAAAAAAUGAAAGCAGACGGCAGAAAGAGUGCAGCUACAAUUAAUUCAUGACUACUGCAGACCGAUCACUCAUGUAUUACGGGCUCCUGGGGUUUGGCCUUCAAAGGCGCAGAAUUACUCAGUGGGAGAGCUUUUGAUAAUGCAAGCUGAAAAAUUUUCUGUAAAGAUGGAUAAUUAAAAAUGUCUUGAUAUUGUGCUCACUAAUUCCAUGCACUAUGUCUGCCCCAAUAAUAACAACUUGAGUUCCUCAUGCUUUGUUUAAUUGUGCCCUGUUUUAGUUUAGUACUCCACCCACAUCCUACUCUAGUAAAGCAAUAAGAUGUGUGAUAUCAGCAGUGGAAUUCUGAGAUACGGGAAAUGAAAAGGUCAGUUACAUUUUGCUUCACAGGGCUUUUUGAUGAUCCAAUUGUCUCUGUGAUUGUAAGAGCAUAUGUUAGCUUAUAAGGCAAUAAGUAAUAAGAAUAUUUUACUGGUUGUAUUAUGCACAAUUUAUAAGUACAUGAUUGAGUAGGCUAGUUUCAUUCUGGUAUGUACAUUCAGGUCCUUCCAUUAAUAUUUUGGUAACAUGUAACAUUAACAUUAGUAACAUUAGUUAAUGAUUUAACUAACAUGAACAAUGAGCAAUACAUUUGUUACAGUAUUUAUUAAUCUUUGUUAAUGUUAGUUAAUAAAAAUCCAGUUGUUCAUGUUACUUCACAGUGCAUUAACUAAUGUUAACAAACACAAUCAGACUAUUAAAAUUGGUAGUGAAUGCUAGUGACUUUACAGUUGUGUAGAACAUUUGAUAACAUUUGGUAUUUUUUAUAGCACUCUCAAAUAAAAAUC